rnacentral:rRNA from 1 species
ACGGCUCAGUAACACGUGGAUAACCUGCCCAAGGGUCUGGGAUAACCCCGGGAAACUGGGGAUAAUACCGGAUGGAUCACUAGUGCUGGAAUGCUUGGUGGUCGAAAGGUAACGCCUUUGGAUGGGUCUGCGGCGGAUUAGGUUGACGCCGGUGUAACGUACCGGCGUGCCUGUAAUCCGUACGGGUUGUGGGAGCAAGAGCCCGGAGAUGGAUUCUGAGACACGAAUCCAGGCCCUACGGGGCGCAGCAGGCGCGAAAACUCUACAAUGCAGGCAACUGCGAUAGGGGGACAUCGAGUGGCAUCCACCUUGGGUGCCUGUCCAACCGUCUAAAAAACGGUUGUUAGCAAGGGCCGGGUAAGACCGGUGCCAGCCGCCGCGGUAAUACCGGCGGCUCGAGUGGUGGCCGAUAUUAUUGAGUCUAAAGGGUCCGUAGCCGGCUUUGCAAGUCCCCUGGGAAAUCCAGCGGCUUAACCGUUGGGCUUUCAUGGGAUACUACAUUGCUUGGGACUGGGAGAGGUAGGAGGUACUCGGGGGGUAGGGGUGAAAUCCUGUAAUCCUCCGGGGACCACCGGUGGCGAAGGCGUCCUACCAGAACAGGUCCGACGGUGAGGGACGAAAGCUAGGGGCACGAACCGGAUUAGAUACCCGGGUAGUCCUAGCCGUAAACGAUGCCCGCUAGGUGUCACGACGGUCGUGAAUCGUCGUGGUGCCGUAGGGAAGCCGCGAAGCGGGCCACUUGGGAAGUACGGCCGCAAGGCUGAAACUUAAAGGAAUUGGCGGGGGAGCAC